rnacentral:lncRNA from 1 species
AAAAACAUUAAUCUAAAAAUCAAUCGAAUUAUUAGUAUGAUCGAGUUAAUAAUUUUUAUAGUAAUGAAUUAAAUCUAGAUUUUUUAUUAAAUAAUUUACUUUUUUAAAUAUCAAAAUAAUAUUUUAAUAAUUAGGUGAUAAUCUAAAAAAAACAAAGUAUAAGAAGUGCUUUAAGAACUACUAAUGAUACAAAUAUAAAAAAAAACAUUAAAAAAUAAUAAUAAAAAAGCACAACAAAGCAAACCGGAAAAAC